UGUGUUGCUCCUUCAGCUGUGCAGCUGAGUGGAACCUGGCUGUGGAGUGGGACUCAGGCCAGACUUGUCUUUGCACACACAGUGCAGCAGUGCUGUGUUGUGUCAUGGUGAUACUGCGAGUCCACAUCCUGUAUUGGCAGAGCUCAGUGUGUGCAUCAGAUGUCGCAGGAAGAAACAAAGAAAAGGGAAAUGAAAGGAAGCUCCACACUACAGAGUAGUUUAUUGACUAUUUAAAAGAUUGCUGUUAGUUAAAAAAGCUGUUGUCCAAUGACUGGAUUUCUCCUUUUGGAUCAUCCAGCCUCAGAAACAAGGAUGUUAUCCAGUGCUGAUGUGCCCAGAAGUCACCAGGAAUAUGACAUUUACUCAUGUUUUUGUACUGUAGCAUGAAUUCAAUUCCAAUGCCUUACCUGGGUCUCUUUGCAGCAGCUGAAGAUCUGCCUAAGACUAUGAGCAUGUAGAGGGAACAAAACUAAAUAAAAUAUAGUGUGAGCAGCUGAUUUCCAUACUCAUCUAAACCUAUCUCACAGCAGUCCUUGCUUCCGCCACUAAAACACUCAGGACUCAUUUUACUAAUUCUGAAAGUCACCUUUACUCAACCCAUCACUGCACAGGAAAAGGACUCAGCCUGUGCUGCCUUCUGCUUCCAGAUACUGUGUGAGACACUGGCAAUGAGCUUGAGAGCCUUAAAAAAUAACAAAGGAAAAAUCCAAUGCAAUUGUUCGGGUGCUGGAACAUAAGAAGGUCAAGUCUUGCUUAUUUGGGGGCACUUGGAUUGCCAAUACCACCAGUAACAGUUUAGAUCUGAAGAAGUUAUUUAAACAGUUCCAGACUUUGGUAUUUUAUAUGAAAUAAAUUAAUUGCAGAUCUAUUUUCAAAGCAGUAUCUGUGGCCAAAAGGUGGAUAACACAUUUCUUUUAGUACCGAGUAAGGGUCAAAAUCAAAAUCAUAUAGCUGUUAAAUCUUAGAACUGAAAACAUUUAUCCGUAUAUAUGUAUAUAUACAUAAGUAUAAAAAUGGGUCUACAUGAUCUAUAUUGCCAGAUUUUGAAAUAUAACGUACAUAUCUACCAAGCAAUUGUAGCACGUUUUACCAUCAAAAUAUUUGGUUAAAAUGCCUAAGUUUUAAGAAGCAAAGUGAACAUGUGGAUUGUGAAUUCCAGAUGCAUUUGUUGUCCUGACAAGGAAAACACCUUUUUUUCUCUUAUAAAUACAACAAAUACUAAUAACAUGAAUGCAGGGGGUGCAACAUCAGCUUUUCCAGCCACUUUCCAGUGAUCACACCUUAAAAUGGAUAUGUCCUCUCUCUGCUCUGAAAUGUGAGAUCGAACUGGGGGAUGUUCCCCUGAGAGCUCUCCAGGCGUAGUUGAUACCACCACUCUAACUGCUACCUGUGGUUCUUGUGGCAGCAUGAAAGCCAAUCCAGCUGACGCUCACGUGCACCUGGCUUGGCAAAUACUGAUAAAAAACGAGUCAAAAUUAAAAAAAACUACCUGUGAAUAUGUAGAGAGACUGUCCUUGAAGAAGAAGAGGCACAUGAAGAGAGUUGGUGCAUGCUUUAAAAAGAUGAGAAGGCCUUGCCUGUGUUGUACGGGUUGAGCUAACACUGCUUGCAGUGGCACAGCAGAGUGACCAUGGUUCCUGCUUGGGGAACUCCUGGAAAAUGAACACAAGGACUGGGAGCCAGCACUGCCCAGAGCACAGCAGGGAACCCCCAAACUGUGCUGCUGCUGGGGCAGCAAGGUCCUCAUUCCCCUGAUUGAUGCUGGUUCUCUGGGGCUGAGUUAAGCCCCAGGAGAUGCAGGGAGAGUGCAGCUGGGAGUUUGCUGUGUGGGUGGCUGUUUCUCCGGGUGUGAAAUGCAGGAAAUAUACUCAGUUCAAAGCCCCGGGGAAAUGCGUUAUUUACCACCCUGCCUUCUGACGGUGUUUAGUCUGGAGCUAAGUGCAGCUUUGGCUGCAAUGAUCGAUGUGCAGAACCUGUGGGGCUGCCAGGAAUGGAUUUGGGAGCCACGCUGAGGACACUGUUAUUACACUGCUUUUCUAUUGCUUUCAAAAUCACUUUGUAUCUGACAAUGGGAACUGACAGCAAAAUGAAAACAUGUCCCACCCGCUUAGGGCUUUCUGUACGUGUUCUUCCUUUCAUUUCCCUUUAGUUGCCCUGCGUGGGGUUGGGUGUAGAUCUCACCCUUGCUGGAGACCAAAAUUUGGCUGCACUUAAAUGGUGCAGACACAGCCCUGUAGGGGUUGGGAGUAAAGAAGGGGAAUUUAUUGCUGGAAAGGGAUUAGUGCUGCUGUGGAGUGAUCUAUUUACAGAGCCCACCCACCCUCAAGGGGCUCUGUACAUGGAGCUGGAUUUGGGAAUUGCAUGGUGCUUCCCUGGGAGGUCUUGAAAUGGGCAUCAGAGGGAGGGAGACCAAGCAUUGUUAUGAGGGAUUGCACAUGGUUUUAGAAGCUUACACAAGGUUCAGGAAAAAUACGCCUUUCUGUUUGACAUUUAAUUUUUCAAGUUUUAUUACAUAAAGACAGCUAAGCCCCAUUAAUUCACUGAGAAAUCCUCAUUGAAGUGAUCAGUUUAUGAAAAUUAUCUUUCUGCCAUUAAGUGGAAUUUAUUGCUGAUGAAGAAAAAGGUAUAUCAAGACACAAGACAACAUAAUAUCUGAAUAAUGUAUUUUUGCUGUAU